rnacentral:ncRNA from 2 species
CGCAUGGAUAGAGGCGCGGAGCGCAAGGUAGCGGGACAAUGACAAGGGCAGGCGAGCCCGAUGUGUCACGUGAAUGUCCGCUCCGCCGAAGGGGGAUGUGAAUCGUACAGCCCUCCCCCUGAGCCGUGGGCCCAGUGCUUGCGGAUUGUCAUGAAGUAACAUGAAGCGCUAUUUGUGUC